AUUGCCUCAGUAACGGCGAGUGAAGCGGCAAGAGCUCAAAUUUGAAAUCUGGCCCCUCCGGGGUCCGAGUUGUAAUUUGUAGAGGAUGCUUCGGGUGCGGCCCCCGUCUAAGUGCUCUGGAACGGGCCAUCGGAGAGGGUGAGAAUCCCGUCUGGGACGGGGUGUCCGCGUCCAUGUGAAGCUCCUUCGACGAGUCGAGUUGUUUGGGAAUGCAGCUCUAAAUGGGUGGUAAAUUUCAUCUAAAGCUAAAUACUGGCCGGAGACCGAUAGCGCACAAGUAGAGUGAUCGAAAGAUGAAAAGCACUUUGAAAAGAGAGUUAAACAGCACGUGAAAUUGUUGAAAGGGAAGCGCUUGCGACCAGACUCGCUUCCGGGGUUCAGCCGGCUUUCGGGCCGGUGUACUUCCCCGGGGGCGGGCCAGCGUCGGUUUGGGCGGCCGGUCAAAGGCCCCUGGAAUGUAACGCCUCUCGGGGCGCCUUAUAGCCGGGGGUGUCAUGCGGCCAGCCUGGACCGAGGAACGCGCUUCGGCACGGACGCUGGCAUAAUGGUCGUAAACGACCCGUCUUGAAACACGGACCAAGGAGUCUAACAUCUACGCGAGUGUUCGGGUGUCAAACCCGUGCGCGCAGUGAAAGCGAACGGAGGUGGGAGCCCCCUCGCGGGGCGCACCAUCGACCGAUCCUGAUGUCUUCGGAUGGAUUUGAGUAAGAGCGUAGCUGUGGGGACCCGAAAGAUGGUGAACUAUGCCUGAAUAGGGCGAAGCCGGAGGAAACUCUGGUGGAGGCUCGCAGCGGUUCUGACGUGCAAAUCGAUCGUCAAAUUUGGGUAUAGGGGCGAAAGACUAAUCGAUCCUCUGGUAGCUGGCUCCCUGCC
rnacentral:rRNA from 1 species